rnacentral:rRNA from 1 species
GGAUGAACGUUGGCGGCGUGCCUAAUACAUGCAAGUCGAACGGAGACUGUAGCAAUACUGUCUUAGUGGCGAACGGGUGAGUAACGCGUUGGUGAUCUGCCUCGAAGUGUGGAAUAACCUCCCGAAAGGGAAGCUAAUACCGCAUAGUCUCUCAAGGUUUANNAAAUUGAGAGUAAAGGAUUUAUUCGCUUCGAGAGGAGCCUGCGUCCCAUCAGCUCGUUGGUAGGGUAACGGCCUACCAAGGCAAUGACGGGUAGGGGACCUGAGAGGGUGGCCCCCCACAAUGGAACUGAAACACGGUCCAUACACCUACGGGUGGCAGCAGUAGGGAAUAUUAGAAAUGGGCGGAAGCCUGAUCUAGCAACACCGCGUGUGCGAUGAAGGCCUUCGGGUCGUAAAGCACUUUUUGGAGGGAAUAGGANGGAAGGUACCUCCAGAAUAAGUCUCGGCUAACUACGUGCCANNNAGCCGCGGUAACACGUNNNAGGCAAACGUUAUCCGGAUUCACUGGGCGUAAAGCGCGUGCAGGUGGUUCCGUAAGUAGGGCGUGAAAGCUCCCGGCUCAACUGGGAGAGGCCGUACUAAACUGCGGAGCUAGAGGAUGGUAGAGGGAGGUGGAAUUCCAGGUGUAGUGGUGAAAUGCGCAGAUAUCUGGAGGAACACCAGUGGCGAAGGCGGCCUCCUGGACCAUUCCUGACACUCAGACGCGAAAGCUAGGGUAGCAAACGGAAUUAGAGACUCCGGUAGUCCUAGCCCUAAACGAUGCAGACUAGGCGUCGGCGGUUUAAUCACCGUCGGUGUCCAAGCUAACGCGAUAAGUCUGCCGCCUGAGGACUACGGCCGCAAGGCUAAAACUCAAAGGAAUUGACGGGUCCCCGCACAAGCAGCGGAGCGUGUGGUUUAAUUCGAUGCUCCGCGAAGAACCUUACCUGGGUUUGACAUAACAGUGGUAGAGAAACGAAAGUGGACCGACCCUUCGGGGAGCUGUUACAGGUGUUGCAUGGCUGUCGUCAGCUCGUGCCGUGAGAUGUUCGGUUAAGUCCGCUAACGAGCGCAACCCGCGCUGUGUGUUACAAGUGUCACACAGUACCGCCGGUAUUAAGUCGGAGGAAGGUGCGGAUGACGUCAAGUCAGCAUGACCUUUAUAUCCAGGGCUACACACACGCUACAAUGGUCAGCACAAUAGGUUGCCAAGCCGCAAGGCGGAGCCAAUCCUCCAAAGCUGGCCUCAGUUCAGAUUGCAGGCUGCAACUCGCCUGCAUGAAGUCGGAGUUGCUAGUAACCGCAGGUCAGCAUACUGCGGUGAAUACGUUCCCGGGGAU